GGGCCCAUAGCUCAGCGGUAGAGCGUCCGGCUCAUAACCGGCUGGUCGCAGGUUCGAAUCCUGCUGGGCCCA
rnacentral:tRNA from 1 species